rnacentral:tRNA from 1 species
GCCUGGGUGGCUCAGUCGGUUAAGCAUCUGACUCGUGAUUUUGGCUCAGGUCAUGAUCUCAUGGUUUGUGGGUUCAAGCCCCACAUCGGGCU